GAAUGAUGGCAUCUGCUAUUGGAUCCGUAAUGGGCUGUUUAUUCUUGAUGCUUUCAAUUGUCAAUGUCAUUCAGAUUCGACUCGGGGUCUUAUCUUGUGGAAGUAAAUCUGCUAUUCAUGCUGUCUCCACCUUGCUCGUUUUGGUCACGUCUGCCCUUGUUGUUUAUAUUUCUACCGCUAUAUAUGCAUUUCUGCACUAAAGUCAAUUUUUGGAUUUUGUUCAAUCUAUAAAAACUAUGUCAUGCUUUGAAUAUAGAGAUCAUUUAGGUCAUUACUGUUUGAAUUCAAAAUCAAUUCCAUUAUGCCACCUAGUCCAUUUCCUUCAUACUCAACCAUAUGUAUCAUUGUGACCAUAGUUUCAUCUGUCACCAGCUAUGUGUAGGAUAAAUCUUACUUUUCAGCUGAGUCAUUUCUACAACCCCUCAUUUGUAAAGCAUUUUUCUAUCUCUAAGCAAAUGUAUAAAUGGGCAUUUGCACAACACUUUUUAAUGUUUAAUAUAUGCUAUUUAUGCUCG
rnacentral:misc_RNA from 1 species